CCAGCUUUCAGAUGAGCAGCGAGGCUCUCCUGUGCCUGACGGUGCCACCGGCACUUCACUGGGCACUAAAGCCCCUUCUCACCCACAGGAGGCAGGUCAGGACAAGAAGGUGCCUCCCCGGGGCAGAUGGAAGCAGAUUUUUCAGGACAAGAAGGUGCCUCCCAGCACAGCCCGGCCACGCAGGGCUGGUUUGGGCUCAUCUGGUCAUAAGCCACCGCAGAGACCGCUGAGGCCAUAAGAGCAUUUGCUUGGGAGCUGGGUGGCAGAAAGAAAGAGCCAACCAACUGCAUGACGUUGUCAUCACUUUUGUUGCUCUCGUUUCUCUAGGGCCAUCACCAGCAUACCUUGUCUGCUUUAUUUAACUGCAGCUUCUGCACCUCUCCCUCAGGAAGAUGUGGCAGAGAGUCCCCGCUCUACAAAGAAAAAGCAGCAGCACAAAGCCGACAGCAAAAGAAAUCUGCUCUGCAGGAACCUGGAUCUCCAUGAGCAGAUCAAAGCCCAAUUUAAAGAUAUCAUCCAAAUAGGAAAAAGCCCCACAGAACUGUAACAACCAGCAGGCCAGGAACUUCAGCAAAUGUCUCUGGGCUUCCCAGAAGAAGAGAUGUAAGAAAAAAUUCUCAUUCCCAAAAGGAGUUUUGGAACUGUGGAGUUAAAGGGAACAUCUCCAUCCCCAGUGUGGCAAGGUGAAAGGCACUGCAGCAGGGCCAGCAUGUCCAGCAUGACGCUGCUCCAGCCACUUUGGGAGUCCUGGCCAAGGUGUGGGUCAAGCUGGGGCUCUGCAGAGUGACCCCCACAGCUCUCCUCUGCAGCUCCUUUCUGCUGAUAGCUGCAAAUUGCACACUGG